ACAUGCCAACCUUCCCGAUCUAGUCGGGAUUUUCCCGAUUUGAAGCAUCGAUCCCGAUUUCCCGAUCGGGAUUUGUAAAUUGUACAGAAAUCCCGAUUUCGUAAAUAUUACGACAAGAUACCCCGAUUUCCGACACGAAUUUUAUAUCUCGCGCGGCUUCUGUUUGGCCAGCCAAUCAGAAAUCGGGAUUUAGGGUUGCCAUUACUGUUUACCUGUGGCACAUGUCGUGAUUUGGGAUGUGUGAACAUGUGUUUGGAAGUUCAUUGGAGUUACUGAGAGCGUGUGUUGAUAGUAAUUAAUCGGCAUGUAUUGUACACGCAGAGAACGACCUAGGCGAUCGAAGUUAAUUGUUGAAUAGAUAAAGAACGAAUGAAGCAACUGACCAUGCUGACAGUCACCGAUCGCUUGUAAAUCACUAAAUGUUUCCGAGUGAUGCGUUAACCAUGGUGGCUACAGCGAAUGGCAUAUCUGUAAAUGCAUCCACCCUUCAGGUCGAUCAGAAGUCGGAAUGCAAACGUUUUGCAUUGGAAAAAAUCUUUUAAAGAUGAAGGCCAUUGUCCAAAGAAAGAGAGCAUAUGUUUCCUGGCUGCAGAUUCUUUCACCAUGGACCUGAAUUUUAAGCACACUUGUUGAAAGUUUUACAUUUGUUGUUAAAGAAUAAACCUUUUUGUUUUAUAUUUGUUAGCUUGUUUGGAUAUAUUGAAUAAAUUCUGAUAACAUACAAAAAAAGACAAAUUAUAUUUUUACGACUAAAUGUCGCGAAUUUGUAGAGAUGAAAAAUGUCGUUCGCGAAAAAUCCCCCAUGAAGAUU